rnacentral:rRNA from 1 species
GACGAACGCUGGCGGCGUGCUUAACACAUGCAAGUCGAACGGAAAGGCCCUGCUUUUGUGGGGUGCUCGAGUGGCGAACGGGUGAGUAACACGUGAGUAACCUGCCCUUGACUUUGGGAUAACUUCAGGAAACUGGGGCUAAUACCGGAUAGGAGCUCCUGCUGCAUGGUGGGGGUUGGAAAGUUUCGGCGGUUGGGGAUGGACUCGCGGCUUAUCAGCUUGUUGGUGGGGUAGUGGCUUACCAAGGCUUUGACGGGUAGCCGGCCUGAGAGGGUGACCGGCCACAUUGGGACUGAGGGACGGCCCAGACGGCUACGGGAGGCAGCAGGGGGAAAUAUUGCACAAUGGGCGGAAGCCUGAUGCAGCAACGCCGCGUGCGGGAUAACGGCCUUCGGGAGGUAAACCGCUUUCGCCGGUAACGAAGCGUGAGUGACGGUAAUUAAUAAAGAAGCACCGGCUAACUACGUG